rnacentral:rRNA from 1 species
UACGGAGGGUGCAAGCGUUGUUCGGAAUCACUGGGCGUAAAGGGCGUGUAGGCGGUCCGCUAAGUCUGAUGUGAAAGCCCGGGGCUCACCCCCGGAAGGGCAUUGGAAACUGGCGGACUCGAGUCUCGGAGAGGAAGGUGGAAUUCCUGGUGUAGCGGUGAAAUGCGUAGAGAUGUGGAGGAACACCAGUGGCGAAGGCGACUCUUUGGUCUGUAACUGACGCUGAGGCGCGAAAGCGUGGGGAGCAAACAGG